rnacentral:lncRNA from 1 species
GUGAUGGUGGUGGUGAUUUGUUUUGUCUUGUUUUUAAUGUCUCUGUAGUUAAAAAGUCUUGGAGACACUUGCAAUAAACACCUCAGACAAAGGCCUCUUAUCAGAUCCCAGGACCCAGCAGGGCAUAACCUGUGAGAACAUCCCCGUGAGCACCGAAGGGAGGCAUUGUCUGGUGAGCAGGCAUGCUGUUCACCUGGCACAGCCCAGGCAAAUGCUGGCAGUGGAGGAGACGUGAGGAUGCUCAUGUGAAACUCUCAGGGCAUCCCAACCAGUAAGCAGAGCCUGGGGAGGUGGAGGCCCAAAUCUGAGAAAGGGAAAAGAGGUCUGUCCUCAAGUUCUGGGUCAGAGCCCCUUGAAGACAACAGGAAUCUGGGCAGCUCACUAAAAGAGGGGUUCAGAGGUCCAAGGUCAAAGUUCAGUGAUAAGAACAGAAAGCACCAGAGGGGAAAGGCACUUUCUCAGCAAAGAAAUCUCAAUGCCCAGAAUGCAGGGCUGAAGCUGAUUGAAAACCAACUAUAUCCACCUAGAUUGGACCAGGUCAUUAGGAUGGGUGAUUCUUAUCUGUGGGUAAGAAUGAAGUGACACCCCCACCCCACCCACCAGCUAUGGAAGAAGAAGGAAUUACAGAGACUGGAACCCAGAAUUAAAUGUCUUCCAUGUCAACACUCAUGCCAGGAUUAUACAGACACUGGGACAACCUCCUCCCACAACCAGCCUCCUUCCUUGAGGUGACCUAGGGGAAAUGAAGGCAUUCGUGACAAUACUUUCCAUCACACCAGAAGAGAUGAGAGUUUAAACACCAUUAGACUGAGAAGAGAAACUCGGGGGGCUUUUAACUUCAGUCCAACCAGGGAACCACACUGUGGUAGAAAUAGAACUUGCUUCAAACUUCCUGGCUUUGAAUCCCAGUUCUGCACCUGACUUGUGAGUCAGCACUGACAAUGUAAUGAUUUCAGCCUGUUUUGGCCGAAGACUCCAAAACAGUAAGUGCCCAUCACUCCCACAUACCGAAGUGAAAUACUAGACUGCCUAUGCAGGAUUUGAGAACGGAAGAUUGAGAGACAAAAGCACUUAGGAAAGAAAAGAAAUUUACUCUCAAAAGAGCUCAAGGGAGUUAAACUUCAGACAGCUUGGCUUACAAAUAAAUAAAUAAGUAAAUAAAUAAAUAAAUAAAUACAUAAAUAAGUCUAUGAUAGCUAUUUAAAGGGAAAAUCCCUUAACAUUAGCAAGGUUAGCUAGUUUACAUUAGCCUGUUCUGGUGGAUUUUCUCAUAUGUUUAUCAUAUCCUCAAAAGUCAUGACAUAUGGUCAGAUAUCGGUACUACAAAAGCCAGGAUAAAGGUUUUUGUUAGAGUCAGGUAAGAAUCAAAUAACACCCCCAACCCCAUCAGGAAAGGAAGGAGUUACAGAGGCCGGAGACCUAGCUUUACUGGAGAAGCUAAAGGCUUGCUAAUUUCGGACACAAGAAGCAGAAAUGGGCUGCCGCAGCAGAAUACCACAAACCAAACAGCUUCCAAUAACAGAUCUUUAUGUUCUCACCACUGUGGAGCCAGGACUCCAAAACGAAGGUGUCGGCAAGGCCAUGCCCACCUUGAAACCUGUAGGGGAGCAUCCUUUCUCGCCUCUUUCUAGCUUCUGGUGGUUUGCUAGCAAUCCUGGGCGUUUCCUGGCUCACAGCUGCAGGAUUUCAAACUCUGCCUCCAUUGUCGCAUGAUGUUCUCCCCUCCUAUAUCUGUAUCUCUGGAUCUCUUCUUUUAAGGACAUGAGUUAUAUUGGAUUAAAGGCCCACCCUACUUCAGUAUGACCUCAUCUUAACUUAUAACCUCUGCAAAGACCGUUUCCAAAUAACAUCACAUCUUCUGGCACUGAGGAUUAUGUCUUCAACAUGUCAUUUGGAGAGACACAAUGCAACUCGUAACAAUGGCUCAAUCACAUCUUCUCUGCUCCCUCUUUCAACAAUGGCUUCCCCACCCAACUUAAUAUAGGGUGGACAGGGGCAACUUCAGGACCUAAACCAGGGAAAAAGAUAGGAGCCUUCAUAAAAAUGGAACCAUCUAUCCCCAGCACAGGAACCAGAGGGCACUUCUCUACCUCUGCUUUUGAAAUAAAGAAUAUUAUCAUUGUUUCCUCCCCUGAGGAAAUAGAAGAGUAGCCAGCUCAGCUAGGGCUGUCACCUUCCUGAGGUUGCUCCACACUGGCUGACAGCCAACAGCUGCUGCUUAAAAAAUAAAAUACCCUCAUCAUAAAUAAGGAAAUUACUGAAUAAGGCUGGAAUUUCAAGAGAGGAAAUAGGUUGUACUCAUUUUCCUGCUCCAUAAGAAAGAGGACACGUGUGACUUCAGGGAGAGGCUGUGGACCAAGUGCGUCAGUACUGAGAGUGGUAGUGAGGGUCCCAGGCUGGUGCAGCAUGAAGAGUACCACAAGAAAUGCCCACCUGUGAGACCGCUGAGGCCGGGCAGCGCCUAUCCACCUCCCCACCCACUUUUUCUCAGAUCACAGGCCUGGGAUCUUGGUACAGUCCAAAUGGUGGGGAAAGAGCAUGGAGAAUAACAAAUACAGAACACUUCUUGUUGACUUCUUCAGUGCUUGUCACGGAUUGGAUUCCCUGGGAAGCAGAUGCUGUGUUGGAGAUGUGCACAUCACAAUGUUAUUGCAGGAGCAUGUUCUUGGGAAUACAAAUGUGGGGGAGUGAAGAGAAGAAAGCAGGAUGAAGCAGAAGGAAAAGAGGAGCUGCAAUCCAGUGCCCAAAGAGCUGUAGAACUGAGAUCACUCUGAAGAACUGUCCCAAACUGGAAGAAGAGGGGCAAGUAAUUAUAAUACCCUAUUGAUAAUCAUUGGAUGAGAGCUUCCCUGGGGAAGGAGGCAUUACUUUGUUCAUGGUGGGUCCCUUAAGCUAACGCAGUUUCAUCACAACGAUGCUCUCAAUCUGGAGUACACACAUCAAGAGAUGGGCAGACCCUUCAGGAGAGGUUUAAUGCAUCCAGUACACAUCGUGGUCGCUCCGCACAUGCUGGUACCCCCUGCUCCAUUAGCAGAAAUUGCUAAUUCUGAAGGUCUCCCCAUUUAAUGUAAUCCACCUCUCCCUCAUUUAAUCACAAAUACAUUCACGCCCUUCCCAGCAGGAGACAACUGAAUAUCACGUUGUGGGCUGUUCUUCAGGUACGUUCAGGUGAUAUCCAUUCCUCUUCUAGGUGCAGGUUCUCAAGGUCUACUAGCCUGUGGGCAAUGGGAGAUUGGUUAAACGAAUUGAGACACACUCAUAUGGUAGAUCAUUAAAACUAAAGUUGUAGAAGAUAAUCAUUAUAAGAGAAAAAGCUUCUGGGAUGUUGUUAAGGGGAAGAAGAUAAUAAAACAAUGUAUACCAUAUAAUUCCACUUCUGGGGAAAAAACAUACAUAUGAGAAAAAUCUGUAAGAAGGUACAUUAAAAUCCAGUAGUUACUUCUGGGGUGGUAGGAUUAUUGGUUAUUCUACUCUUUCUCCUUUUCUUUAAAUAUGUUUUCUAGAUCAGACAAAAAUAAUGUUACUUUUGAAAUACUGAAAAUAUUAUUUUUCCUCUAAAAAUUAUAGAUGUCUUAUGAGGAGUAUGUUUGUGGCUACAUUAGUCAAUUAAUGAUUGCUUGACCACUAGUUGGAGAAAUCAGGAAUGAGACUUUAAGUGGAGCUCGUAUGUUAACAGUGGCGGCUUCAGAGCCUGGAAGAUUUAGGAAAGGACUAGUCUGGGUAAAAGGAGAAGGUUUAGACCUAUGCUGUUCAAGACAGAGGCCACUAGCCACAUGUGACCACUGAGCACUUGAAAUAUGGCUAGUUCAAAUUGAGAUGUGCUUUAAGUGUAAAAAAAAAAUAAGAUUUCAAAGAUUUAGUAUUAAAAAUAUUUUAAAAUCCUCAAAAAUUUUUAAUAUUACAUCUUGAAAUAAUUAUAUUUUGUAUAUAUUGGGUAAAUAAAAUAUAAUAUUAAAAAUGAUUCACAUCUUUGUUUUGUACCGUGCUGAUUUAGAUACUUGUCAGGAAAUGUAAGUUCUCUGAAACACCCCCCAAAGGGAAAAGAAUAUGAAAAAGCAUUUGCCUCACAGGAAACCUGCCAACCUUUCUGUUUUACUUGGUGCUUUAGUAGGACAACCACUGGAAAGGGCAGUUUGUUGUCAAAUGAGCAUGUCAAAUGAACUCCAACCACUGCAAGGCAAAAUGAAACCCACGCUACCUAAAAGGUGUAGAUAUCAGUCCAUGUAAUUGAAAUCUGUCGACUUGGGGGUAAGUUAAAGAAACACCGUGUUGUUGUAGAAGGCCAUUGACAUCUUCUCCUGGUAAAACCCCCAGAGGGUGCUGUCUUAAGGUGUUGGACAGAAACUGCCCCAUGGCAUCUACACACUGGAUGUUGAUUUGAGUUAAACUGAGCAUUUGACAGAAGGAUUCUGACCCAUUCCCUGGAGUGAUUUGGGAAGGUAUUUAUAAAAAGGAAUGAUGUGCUCCAGUGAUUUACAAUAAUGGCAUAUAUUGUUUUGUCUUUGGUUUGUUUCUUGAUUGUAAAUAUUGGUCAGUGUCCAAAAUUAAGAUGCAAUCACUGGUUACCCCAACCUGGGAUGUUUAUUUGGAAAAACACAAAGUGGUUUAAAAUUCAUACAAAUCACUCUAAACCUGGGUACACUCUUUUUCUUUAAAUCUUAGAUUCUGCUGUCAGAUCAAGAGAAAAAGGGAAAGCUUUCAUAUUGCUCAAAAUGAUUUUUUAAAAUUUCCUUCAUUUCUUACUUCCUUCUCAACUCUUUUCCACUCUAAAACAUUCUCAACUCCCUAACUCAUUAAGAUAUUUUAUUCAUAAAGAGAACUUAAAUUAAGAUUUAAAUAAAUAUUUAUUAAACUGUUUUCCAGAUUUACAAAAUCCAGCUGGGUAACUCAUUGAAAAUAAGUACUGUGUAAUCUGUUGUCUAGUAAAAAGGGUUUGAACAGGAUGUUUAGGCCACAUCUCAGCUCCAUCAUUCCUUCUGGUAUCCUGGCAUCACUGGGUAAGUUCACAGUUUAAGGAAGGAAUCUGAGGUGGUAGAACCAGGUGUGCUGGAGAGGCAGCCUAGGUCAGUGGCUAAGAGUGAAAUUCUGGCUUCACCACUUUCUAGCUCUUACAACCUUAGGAAGGUUAUGUAAUUUCAUAUUAUUAUUAUUAUUAAAGCCUUAUGAUAUAGUUAUUAUUAUUAUCUCCAUUUUAAAGAUGAGAAAACACAGAGCACAAAACCAUAAAGACUGUGUCUGGGAUGCAGUAAGUGUUAUGUAAGGGUGUUAAGCAAGUAAGCAUACAAAAUGCAGGACCAAAAGAAGCAACACCAGCCCCCAAACUACACCAUGUGAAUUUCCAAAGAACCAAGUGUUCACACUACAUCAAAACGAGCCUGUUGAAUCUUUUGGACUCUGAGAAAUAAAGCAUAGUUAUUAUCAAAUUAAGAUUUAAAUUCAAUUCCUCAGCUGCGUCUUGAUCACUGGAUACCACUUUAAUAAUCACAUUAUUAAAGAAAGUUCCAAGUUUGGGGUGGAAUACUGCAGAUGAGGAAAGUAGAAAUUACUGCUAUAUUAUGAUCUACACUUUGUCUUAAUAUGAUCUGGCCCAUAUAAAAAUGCUCCAGAACAGUUGCAAAAUAUGGAUAUUUUUCUUUGAAAACCAGCCUUUUGUCUUUAUAACUUACAAAGCCAUUUUUCCCAGUCCACAAAGCUAUUUGGUCACAAAUUUAAGAAACCAGUGAUUCCUGAGAUAUAUGUGCUUUCACACUUCAGGAAAUAAUUUCAAAAUGAUUUUGGCAGUCUACCCAUUUUUAUAAAGAUAAAAAACUAAAAUAUUAUUUUGUCUUAGAAAUAAGUAUUAAUAGAGACAUUAUUAUAUCUUUGCCCCUAGAGCUUUAGAAGCAAAGAUUUGUCUUUCUCUUCCUCUCUCUCUCACUCUUCCCUAUUUCCUCCUUCCUGGUGAGUCUUACUUCUGUAUACUAGAGUAAUUAUAUCUAUUUUUUUGAAUGCUUUUGUAUGUAUAUUAUAAAGUGUUUCCUUUCUUGUUCUCAAUUCAAAUGGAAUACUGAACUGUGCUCUCUGUAUACUAAGUUAACUGGGGCCUGUCGGGGGGGUGGGGGGAGGGGGGAGGGAUAGCAUUAGGAGGAAAACCUAAUGUAAAUGAUGAGUUAAUGGGUCCAGCAAACCAACAUGGCACAUGUAUACAUAUGUAACAAACCUGCACGUUGUGCACAUGUACCCUAGAACUUAAAGUAUAAUAAAAAAAAAAAUUUAAAAAAAAA